GACGAACGCUGGCGGCGUGCUUAACACAUGCAAGUCGAACGGAAAGGCCCUGCUUUUGUGGGGUGCUCGAGUGGCGAACGGGUGAGUAACACGUGAGUAACCUGCCCUUGACUUUGGGAUAACUUCAGGAAACUGGGGCUAAUACCGGAUAGGAGCUCCUGCUGCAUGGUGGGGGUUGGAAAGUUUCGGCGGUUGGGGAUGGACUCGCGGCUUAUCAGCUUGUUGGUGGGGUAGUGGCUUACCAAGGCUUUGACGGGUAGCCGGCCUGAGAGGGUGACCGGCCACAUUGGGACUGAGAUACGGCCCAGACUCCUACGGGAGGCAGCAGUGGGGAAUAUUGCACAAUGGGCGGAAGCCUGAUGCAGCAACGCCGCGUGCGGGAUGACGGCCUUCGGGUUGUAAACCGCUUUCGCCUGUGACGAAGCGUGAGUGACGGUAAUGGGUAAAGAAGCACCGGCUAACUACGUGCCAGCAGCCGCGGUGAUACGUAGGGUGCGAGCGUUGUCCGGAUUUAUUGGGCGUAAAGGGCUCGUAGGUGGUUGAUCGCGUCGGAAGUGUAAUCUUGGGGCUUAACCCUGAGCGUGCUUUCGAUACGGGUUGACUUGAGGAAGGUAGGGGAGAAUGGAAUUCCUGGUGGAGCGGUGGAAUGCGCAGAUAUCAGGAGGAACACCAGUGGCGAAGGCGGUUCUCUGGGCCUUUCCUGACGCUGAGGAGCGAAAGCGUGGGGAGCGAACAGGCUUAGAUACCCUGGUAGUCCACGCUGUAAACGGUGGGUACUAGGUGUGGGGUCCAUUCCACGGGUUCCGUGCCGUAGCUAACGCUUUAAGUACCCCGCCUGGGGAGUACGGCCGCAAGGCUAAAACUCAAAGGAAUUGACGGGGCCCCGCACAAGCGGCGGAGCAUGCGGAUUAAUUCGAUGCAACGCGUAGAACCUUACCUGGGUUUGACAUGGAUCGGGAGCGCUCAGAGAUGGGUGUGCCUCUUUUGGGGUCGGUUCACAGGUGGUGCAUGGCUGUCGUCAGCUCGUGUCGUGAGAUGCUGGGUUAAGUCCCGCAACGAACGCAACCCUUGUUCACUGUUGCCAGCACGUUAUGGUGGGGACUCAGUGGAGACCGCCGGGGUCAACUCGGAGGAAGGUGGGGAUGACGUCAAGUCAUCAUGCCCCUUAUGUCCAGGGCUUCACGCAUGCUACAAUGGCUGGUACAGAGAGUGGCGAGCCUGUGAGGGUGAGCGAAUCUCGGAAAGCCGGUCUCAGUUCGGAUUGGGGUCUGCAACUCGACCUCAUGAAGUCGGAGUCGCUAGUAAUCGCAGAUCAGCAACGCUGCGGUGAAUACGUUCCCGGG
rnacentral:rRNA from 1 species